rnacentral:rRNA from 1 species
AUACGUAGGGUGCAAGCGUUAAUCGGAAUUACUGGGCGUAAAGCGUGCGCAGGCGGUUUUGUAAGACAGAGGUGAAAUCCCCGGGCUCAACCGGGGGACUGCCUUUGUGACUGCAAGGCUAGAGCACGGCAGAGGGGGAUGGAAUUCCGCGUGUAGCAGUGAAAUGCGUAGAUAUGCGGAGGAACACCGAUGGCGAAGGCAAUCCACUGGGCCUGUUCUGACGGUCAGGCACGAAAGCGUGGGGAGCAAACAGGAUUGGAUCCCCUGGUAGUCCACGCCCUAAGCGAUGUCAACUGGUUGUUGGGUCUUCAUUGACUCAGUAACGAAGCUAACGCGUGAAGUUGUCCGCCUGGGGAGUACGGCCGCAAGGUUGAAACUCAAAUGAAUUGACGGGG